AUGCUAUUCUAUCUAUAGAGUGAUCGCCGAUGCACUGUCAGCGACUCACACAGCCGCUCCUGCGAUCAUUGAAACGCUGUAAAAAAAUUUAAGAGAACGCCAGUGUUUACGCAGCCAACCUUUAAUGGCUCUUUAACAGGGUGAAGCGAAACCUACGAGACGAACGAUGCGUCUUGCUAGAUCUUUUUGGCCGGACUUCUGGCCCCCUCUGGCCCGAAUAGAUUCCCACCUCUAACUAAUUUAUCAGAAUUCGACUGGACAUGUGCCUGCCCGAUUUGUUUUCUAAUUUUUACUAUCGAAACGGCCGGGUUUUUUGCUUGACUCUACCAGAACUCCAGGGAUCAUUCAUGUCGUUGAAAAGCAAAGAAAUUAUACAAGUGGCUAACAGGAUGCCAGUUGCUUCUGUGUCCCAGCAAUGCAAGUCGUAUAGAUUUGUAAGCUAAGCAGGCUUGUAGCAUUUCAAUUGAUCAUAGCGUUCUUGUACUCUCAAUGGCUACUAGAGCGUCUCGCUCGACGUAUCCUCACCGUGACAGUCUGUCUAACGCCAAUGAACCAGCCAAUCGUGAGAAACGGUCGAGCCGGCUAGACUCGAGUUCAGACACGCACUAGAUCACGGCAACGGUAAUAAAAGGCUAUGGAAAUGAAGGGCUCGACAAUUCGUCAUACCCUUCAUCUGAAGCCGCUGUUUAUGAUGAAAGAUAUCUGCUUCUAUUAUAUUAUAAAUGCAACACAUGACAGCAUAUUAAAGAACCGCGCGCGUUGUUUGCAAUAUCUAGAUGUGUGGGAAUUCAGUAGAGCAGAUAUGGAUAGAUUCCGCCGGAACAAAGCCCCACCAGACCAGAUUGUGGCGAACUUUGGUUAAUUCAAUCUGCGCAAAUUUCAAGGUUUACUGGUGAAUAAAGGUUAAGACGUACACGACGAUCGACUUCGUAGGAUGGACAGGAUUGAGGAGUGUAGCUGCUACAUGAUACGUUGCCCCAUGUAUCCACCAGGUGAUGGUUGCAUGGUGCCAUGAUGGGGCUACCUCGAAGUCGUCCUAAUUAGGACGUCCUAAUUAGGCAAAUAUCCACAGACCUAUGAUGACCGGGUCCGGUUAGCAUGCACUCGUCGGAGACCUUAGACCUGAGCAAAUUUCACUGUAAAGUCUUUCCUCCCAUCAAGAUGGCCUGAUCAAAGCUGACAAAAUUCGGCUUUACACUGCGGCUAUAAUGGACAAAGAAAGUCCCUGCUAAUUAGUUGCAUAUAUGUGUAGUUUACUGGCGUGAGUGUCACGGAAACGGAUGGUUGUUCAACAAAAAAGAAAAAAGAAAGUUCAGCUUUCAGGUAUUCGUUGCACUGAAGGGUGAGAGGGUGGGGGAAGCGCGAACUGUCGAUCGAAAAUCGGAUCUGGCGUCCGCUUGGAAUGACGCGCUGGUUACUAAUGCAGAAAACACUAUGAACAAAAAAUUCGGCUUCCAAUGACCUGUCCUGCUGACUCUCAUUGACCUUUGGUACAGCAGCUUGUCGUAGAUAUCUACGAAUACGUUGCUGGUAGAAGAGGCCGUACAUGGGCCGAGGCCGAUACUGGUAACAAGGAUGUCCGGCGAAGUCCACAGGACAAGCAUAUGUAGAUGGUGUAUUAAUGGAUACACAAACAGCGAUGUGAAUGGGGAACGGUGUUGUAUACAUCGAGGCGCUAUCGAUUUCAUCGACAGGAAACUAUGCUAGAAAACGCGUUUAUGACGAUUAGUUAUGACUGGAGCAAUACCACGUCCAAUCUAGAAGCGAAACGGUGCUCUACGCUAAUUGCCGAGAGCUUGAUAAAAGGCUUUUACUUGUUAGAAGAGAAACGCGAAAUAUGAUUAUACGUGUACGCCAGUAUAUUUAUCUAAGCAUAUAAAGGUACGGUUUUGUUACGUUACGUAAAAAAUGCCCUCAUUGCGUUUCCAACUUCCUCAUGUCUUAACGGUGAGGAACAAGAGCACAAAUGUAAUCUGUACAGAUAUUUUCAUAUGUCAGUUUUAGAAAUGAACAAGUAUCGGCAUAUAAAAAGUGUCACUUAUGUUGCCUGACCAUGUAUUUACGUGCCUGCGCCAAGAGAAGGCAUUUCUAAUUAUGAACUUUCAUCACAAUGACUCAGCUAGCUGAGCGAAAAGUUCACUAUUUUUUUUUUUCAA